rnacentral:rRNA from 1 species
UACAGGGGGGGGCAAGCGUUUGUUCGGAAUUACUGGGCGUAAAGGGCUCGUAGGCGGCCAACUAAGUCAGACGUGAAAUCCCUAGGCUCAACCUAGGAACUGCGUCUGAUACUGGAUGGCUUGAAUCCGGGAGAGGGAUGCAGAAUUCCAGGUGUAGCGGUGAAAAUGCGUAGAUAUCUGGAGGAAUACCGGUGGCGAAGGCGGCAUCCUGGACCGGCAUUGACGCUGAGGAGCGAAAGCUAGGGGAGCAAACGGG